UGCCACACCCCGGUAAUACGUAGGUGGCAAGCGUUGUCCGGAAUUAUUGGGCGUAAAGCGCGCGCAGGCGGUUUCUUAAGUCUGAUGUGAAAGCCCCCGGCUCAACCGGGGAGGGUCAUUGGAAACUGGGGAACUUGAGUGCAGAAGAGGAGAGUGGAAUUCCACGUGUAGCGGUGAAAUGCGUAGAGAUGUGGAGGAACACCAGUGGCGAAGGCGACUCUCUGGUCUGUAACUGACGCCUGAGGCGCGAAAGCGUGGGGAGCGAACAGGAUUAGAUACCCUGGUAGUCCACGCCGUAAACGAUGAGUGCUAAGUGUUAGAGGGUUUCCGCCCUUUAGUGCUGCAGCAAACGCAUUAAGCACUCCGCCUGGGGAGUACGGUCGCAAGACUGAAACUCAAAGGAAUUGACGGGGGCCCGCACAAGCGGUGGAGCAUGUGGUUUAAUUCGAAGCAACGCGAAGAACCUUACCAGGUCUUGACAUCCUCUGACAACCCUAGAGAUAGGGCUUCCCCUUCGGGGGCAGAGUGACAGUKGUGCAUGGUGUCGUCAGCUCGUGUCGUGAGAUGUUGGGUUAAGUCCCGCAACGAGCGCAACCCUUGAUCUUAGUUGCCAGCAUUCAGUUGGGCACUCUAAGGUGACUGCCGGUGACAAACCGGAGGAAGGUGGGGAUGACGUCAAAUCAUCAUGCCCCUUAUGACCUGGGCUACACACGUGCUACAAUGGGCAGAACAAAGGGCAGCGAAGCCGCGAGGCUAAGCCAAUCCCACAAAUCUGUUCUCAGUUCGGAUCGCAGU
rnacentral:rRNA from 1 species